CAGCCGCCGCGGGAAUACGGAGGGGGCUAGCGUUGUUCGGAAUUACUGGGCGUAAAGCGCACGUAGGCGGCUUGGUAAGUUAGAGGUGAGAGCCUGGAGCUCAACUCCAGAAUUGCCCUUAAGACUGCCGAGCUAGCAGGUGAGAGAGGUAAGUGGAAUUCCGAGUGUAGAGGUGAAAUUCGUAGAUAUUCGGAAGAACACCAGUGGCGAAGGCGGCUUACUGGCUCAUACUGGACGCUGAGGUGCGAAAGCGUGGGGAGCAAACAGGAUUAGAGACCCCCGUAGUCCCUGUCUCUUAUAC
rnacentral:rRNA from 1 species